GAAAGAGCUGAGCAAACAUUAAAGAAGCUAUUAAUAGAACCACAUAUACUACUAACAUGGUUGAUAGUUUUUAAUCAAACUUUUACUAAACAAAGAACACCAAAGUAUCAUGUAGGCAUAUAUGGCAAAUCUUAGAAUAGGUAAACUCUAUUAUUCAUUUAGUUAUCUCCGGAUAUCAUCCAGACCAUUUGCACAACUGCAUUUACCUGAUUGAGUGGACCUCUCCUUUA
rnacentral:misc_RNA from 1 species